ACAAACCGGGUGCGCACUCGGUCGUAGCCAAAGAGAGUAAGUCGGGCAGUGCGGUUAUUGCGGCCAAAAGCUGGUGCUGUGUUGUUAAGUCCACUCCGGACUGGGCAUUCAGGAAGUUAGGGUACAACGCACACACAAUUUCUCAUACACUCGGAAGUACCGGGCCGGGGAACGCACUUUAUGGGCGGAGGGCGGAUCCGGACCCAGUAACAGUGGGCAGCCCAUGCUCACCAGGGACCGAUCCCAUCAACAGCUUCGAGCUAUUCAGGAGAAUGAAAGCUGCUUGAUUAUCGUAACAUCCGGCUGGCUGCUGUUGUUCUGUAAACGAAUAUCCGAAAAGCAACGAAUAUCUUCCAGGCGAGGAAAGAGCUUGACUGUUGUCGGUAAUAAACAAGAUGCUAUUUAUGAGCCGAAUGUUUUAAGAGUUUCCUCAGAACGAAGAUGCCUCCGCCCGAUAUUUUCGAGUUAAUUUGGACUCAUCUCGAUGGACUCGUUCCAUACCGAGGGAAAACACUGGGGUAUGAAUAGCGAUGGCUUCAACAAUGAAACUAUUCAGAAUGCAGCUUAGUCAAAUUGAAAUUUAUUACAUCUGGGACCAUUAUCCAGUGCAACAAAGAACAACUCCCACACAGAGACAUCGUGAAAGUGACCCCUUCAUCCCGUUCCAUCAAUCCAUCCACCCCCAGUCGAGUGAAGCAACAAUUGCACAUUAUUCUUACUUGGACGAAUAUAGAAAGAAGACCGACGAGGACGACGACGACUUUCUUUUGAGAAGUCACUCAAGCGGCUAAACACAGAGGUUACC